AUGGAGGAGAUGAAGAGCCCCACCAAAGCUGAGCCUGCGUCUCCCACAGAAGCACCUCAAGGUGACCACCGUAGCCUGUUGGAGCACAGCCUCCAGUUCUUGGACUUUUGGGACAUUAUGAAGCCUGAGCAGGAAAUGCGCCUCCAGGCCAUGGAGAAGUUGUUGGAGUACUUGUGCACAAGGCUGAGUGAUUCCGAGAUGAAAUGUGCCCUGAAGCGCCUAAUCGCUGGGCUUGGGUGGGCUGAGAAGCUGCUAGGCUUCUAUAGUCUGGCGCUGGCACAACUGUUGCAGUCUUUCGAAGACAUCCUGUUGUGUGACAUCCUGAGUUAGAUACAAGAAAAGUACAGCCUACAAGCAGUGCACAGGCAUAGACCCAAGGCACAGUACAUAAGACCCACUCUCUUUGCAAACCUGUUUGGAGUGCUAGCCCUCUUUCAGUCAGGCUGCCUAGUGAAGGACAAAAAGGCCCUGAUGAAGUCCAUGAGACUGCUGAAGAUCCUGUCCUAUCACCUCAACCACUUACAGGGGCAGCCAAUAAAGGCUCUGGUGGGCAUCCUCUCUGAGAUCUCAGAGUCCAUGUUCCAGGAGAUCCAGCCAAAGAUCCUCAAGGGUGACGUGAAAGUGAUCCUCAGCUCUCCCAAGUACUUGGAGCGCUUCCUCUUGGCUCAGCAGAGGGUGCCAACAAAGCUCCAGUCACUGAUUGGCUCAGUUGACAAUAUUCCCAGUCUGGUGAGCACACCGAAGUGUCAGCGACUCUGUAAAGAAGGAGCAUAAGCUGCCUGAUGUGGCUCUGGACGUGCCCUGCCUGGCACUUAAGGAGAACAAAUUUGAACUGUUCUGGAAGGAAGUUUUGGAGGAGGGGUUGCUGAAGAAUCCAUCCUGGACAUCCAGCUACAUGUGUUUCCACCUACUGGGUGGUAUCUGCUGCUUCUGUCAGAAGAGCAGUUGUAGUUGGGGAUUCGAGGAGACUUGAUCUGCCAUUUUGGGGAGGACAUGGUUGUUUCUAAGCCCCAUCCCAGAGAUAAGUACAUAUGUGGAUACCUUCCUAGAGGGGUACCAGGAUGACUCUAAGUGGCAGUUUUCGAUUAUGGUGGCCUUUACAACCAUCACCAGUCAAGGUCUCCCUGCCAUGCCUACCAUCUGGCAUGUACACGGUUUUGGAAUACUGAAGCCCUGCAGAGCCAUGUGGCCUGGUUGCAGGACAUGUUCCUGCAGCCUGACCUGGACUCCUUGGUUGACUUCAGCACUGCCAACCAGAGAAGAGCUCAGUACAUAUCGUUGAAUGUGGAUGAGCAACCUGGUUUCUGGCUGCGGAAGUGGAUUGUGCACCGCCUGGUCAGCCUUGUGGAUCAUCUGCACCUGGAAAAGGAUGAAGCUGUGGUUGAGCAAAUAGCCAGGUUUUGCUUGUUCCACAUCUUCUUUAUGACAAAGAAGGCUACUCCCCAAAUCCUAGAGACAUAGCAGCACUUCUCCUUCCCUUUGGAUGACCGCAACUGUGGGGUCAUUGUCAGUGCCUUCUUCAGCCUACUGCAGACCCUCAGUGUGAAGUUCAUGCAGACACCAGACCUGGCUGAAAAUAGGAAGCCCUGGACUUGUGGCACAGUUGGCAGACAUGCUGUUGAACCAUAACCACAAUGUGACCAGUGUGACACCCUUGAGAGCACAGCAGUGUCAGGGCUGGGACCAGAUGAUGAAUACUCUGAAGGAACUAGAGGCCCACUCCUCAGAGACCAGGGCCAUGGCCUUCCAGCACCUGCUGCUUCUGGUGGGCCUCCACCUCUUCAAGCCCCCCACAGAAAGCUGUGAUGUCCCACCAGACAUGCAGACUUGCAUCAAGAAAAGCAUGGGGCAGAAUCCCCACCGGCCAUGCUCUAGAGCCAAAGCCUUCCAGGAGCCAGUAUGGGUGGAAGUGAUGGUGGAGAUCUUGGGGUCCUUGCUGGCUCAACCCAGCAACUUGAUGCGCCAAGUGGUCCAGAGUGUAUUUGGUCAUAUCUGUUCCUACCUUACUCCACAUGGUCUGCAGCUAAUUCUGGCUGUGCUUAAGCCUGAGACAAAUGAGGAUGAGGAUGGCAGCGUGGUGGUCACUGAUGAUACUGAUGAGAAGCGGCUGAAGCAUGGAGAGGACUCGGGUUGUGAGGACAAUGAGAACUCAGAGAAAGUGAAGAGGGGGACUCUGAUAAGGAUGUGGACCCAGGCUUCCGUCAACAGGUGAUGUAAGUGUUACAAGCUGAGAAUGCACUGGGUGGAGUGGACAAUGGGGGGGGGGGGGGUGAGGAGGGAGAGGAGAUGGGGAUGAGGCCAUGAUGGCCCUGGACCAGAACCUGGCCAGUCUAUUUGCAGAACAGAAGAUGCAUAUCCAGGCCCAGCAUGAGGAGGAAAACAACCUGCAGAAGAAGAAGCUCUGAUGGGACUUCCAGAUCAGGGCACUAGACCUGAUCGAAGUGCUGGUGACCGAGCAGCCUGAGAACUCCCUGAUCCUGGAACUGCUUGAGCCAUUGCUGAACAUCAUCCAGCAGAGCAUGCGCAGCAGAGGCUCCACCAAGCAGGAGCAAGACCGUCUGCAUCUUCAUGCACCAUCUGCACCGUGCCUGCUGCUACUGCCACGAGGUGGAGCCUUGUGCGGAGGCUCUGCAUGCCCAGGUGGAGAGGCUUGUGCAGCAGGCUGGCAGCCAGACUGGUGCCUCUGUUGCCCUUUACUACUUCAGUGGCCCUCUGUACCUGCUGCGAGUCCUCAAGAGCAACACCACUAAGAGGCGCCAAGGCGAUGACCAGGACUUGGACUUUGUGACCCGGGUGUAUUUGGCAUCACUGGCAUCUCUUCUGACCAAGCAUAACAGCCCACUCAUGGUCCCCAUGUUCCUCAGCCUCUUUUCCUGAUACUCACUGAUCCGUAAGAACCUGCUCCUCAUCCUGGUCCAGCAUGUGGCUGGCCCAUCCCAGCCCCGCCAUCAGACCCAGGCAUGCCUGCUGCUCCAGAAGACCCUGUCUGCAUGGGAGCUGAGAGUAUGUUUUGAGGAUCCUGAGUGGGAGCAGCUGAUUAUCAAACUCUUGGGGAAGGCCACCCAGACCCUGCAGACUCUUGGGGAGGCACAGAACAUGAGGGAGCUAUCCAUCUUGGAGCUGCUGAACACUCUCUUCAGGACAGUCAGUCAUGAGAAGCUGUCUGUGGACCUCACUGCUCUCUUGGGCAUGCUUCAGAGCAAGCAACAGAGGCUGCAGCAAAGCCUGCAGCAGGGGAAAUCACUCGUCUGGCUCCAGUCGCUUCUAUGAUUUCUACUGGCAGGCCAUGAGGAUGGUAGGAGUCCAGCAUCCAAAGUCAGAAAAGAAGAAUAAUGCCAAGGAUAUUCCUGGUGACACCCAGAGCCCCAUUAGCACAAAGCAGAAGAAAAGGGGAUUCUUGCCAGAGACCAAGAAGCAAAAGAAACUUAAAUCUGAGGGUGCCAUGCCAGGAAAGGAUGCUGCAUCAGUGCAUGAUGCAGUGACAGAGGGCGCCAUGCCUGCUGCCACGGGUAAAGACCAGCCCCCCAUCCCAGAUGAAUGGGAUAACUGUGACCCAGAGUCCAGCUCCCAAUAACCCCACCCUAAGCUCCAGCACCCCUGCCAAGACCCCAAAACUGCAGAAGAAAAAAAAGAGAAGCUGUGACAGGUGAAUGGAACCACUCCAGUGUCUCCCAUGGAGCCGGAAGCAAACAGCAUCAUCAGAAGGCUCUCAGCACAAAGGAGGUCAUACAAAGUCUCCCCUGCCAAAGAGAAGAGCAAGGCUGUCUCUGAUGAGCAGGAGCCCAGUCUGUUACAGCGUGGGGCCAAGAAAAGGAGAGUGGCCAGGAAGGAAGAGAGUGCAGACACCUCGAGUGUGUAUGGUCUGUUUCCCUGCCACCAGCCGCUCCAGAAACUCCUAUUUUUCAACAAUAUUUUAAUAAACAAGCCAUAA